GCCCAGACUCCUACGGGAGGCAGCAGUGGGGAAUAUUGCACAAUGGGGGGAACCCUGAUGCAGCGACGCCGCGUGGGCGAGGAAGUAUUUCGGUAUGUAAAGCCCUAUCGGCAGGGAAGAAGAAAUGACGGUACCUGAAUAAGAAGCACCGGCUAAAUACGUGCCAGCAGCCGCGGUAAUACGUAGGGGGCAAGCGUUAUCCGGAUUUACUGGGUGUAAAGGGAGCGUAGACGGAAAGGCAAGUCAGAAGUGAAAGCCCAAGGCUCAACCAUGGGACUGCUUUUGAAACUGUCAAACUAGAGUACGGGAGAGGUAAGAGGAAUUCCUAGUGUAGCGGUGAAAUGCGUAGAUAUUAGGAGGAACACCAGUGGCGAAGGCGGCUUACUGGACGGCAACUGACGCUGAGGCUCGAAAGCGUGGGGAGCAAACAGGAUUAGAUACCCUCGUA
rnacentral:rRNA from 1 species